rnacentral:rRNA from 1 species
ACUUACGGCACACCGCCUGGUUAACCCCGAUCUCGUUUGAUCUCGGAAGAUAAGAUAGGUUGGGCCUGGUUAGUACUUUGAUGGGGAGACCGCCUGGGAAUACCAGGUGCUGUAAGCU